rnacentral:rRNA from 1 species
AUGCGUCCUUCUCUAACAAACACUCAAAGCACUACCAUGCCGGGCUAUGGGUACUGCCUCAUCGACCAAGGAUCUACAGCGACGGCGGGACCACCGACCCCAUGGAGGCAGCACCAAAACCCUAGCCGCUACUGCUCUCCCCUGAGUCCCCUCCUCAUCUCCUUCCUCGUGCGAUGCUCUGCUUCAUCUUUUCUCAAGCCUCCACCAGUCAAAUUCGACCGGGAAAAAGAAACACCUACAUGCAUAUUAUCGGAUGUUCAAGCUAGAGGAUGUGGCGAUGGAAUAUGGAUCAAUGAGAUGAAGAAAGGUGUUGAUGUCAAGUACCAGAAUGAUGGAAGGAUCUUCUAUAUGGGAGGGCUAGCUGACGUUGGUUGGCAAAAUAAACCCCAUCUGACAGUUGGUCGGGAAAAGCUAAUGCGAGGCCCAACAGAAUGUUGGUCGGGAAAGAAUGCCAUGUCCGAUAGUCGGUCGAGAAAGGCCCAUGACAGCCCCAAUGGAUUGUUGGUCGGGAAAGAAUAUUCUGACCGA